GAUGAACGCUAGCUACAGGCUUAACACAUGCAAGUCGAACGAGGCAAAUAAGAUGAAGUUUUCGGAUGGAUUCUUAUUUACCGAGUGGCGGACGGGUGAGUAACGCGUGGGUAACCUGCCUCAUACAGGGGGAUAACGAUUGGAAACGAUUGCUAAUACCGCAUAAGCGCACGGGAUCGCAUGAUCCAGUGUGAAAAACUCCGGUGGCAUAUGAUGGACCCGCGUCUGAUUAGCUAGUUGGUGAGGUAACGGCCCACCAAGGCGACGAUCAGUAGCCGGCCUGAGAGGGUGAACGGCCACAUUGGGACUGAGACACGGCCCAAACUCCUACGGGAGGCAGCAGGUGGGGAAUAUUGGACAAUGGGGGGAACCCUGAUCCAGCGACGCCGCGUGAGUGAAGAAGUAUUUCGGUAUGUAAAGCUCUAUCAGCAAGAAAGAAAAUGACGGUACUUGACUAAGAAGCCCCGGCUAACUACGUG
rnacentral:rRNA from 1 species